GAGAAUGAGGAGGAGGAUGUGGGUGAAGAAUUUGAAAGUAGUCUACAAAGUGAAGAUCGAACUGCUAAAAAACAUGAUGUUCAGAGUCCACAGGAUAAUGAAAAUCCUAAAAAUGUAGAAGAAGAUGGUAGAAAGGAUAAAUAUGUACUUUUCGUAAAAAAUUUACCAUACACCAUUACCGAAGAAGAACUUGAGAAGCAUUUCUUAACUCAGGUCAGCCAAGUGUUUAAUGUUAAAAUACCUAAAAGAGAAGAUAAUAAAACACACCGUGGAUUUGCCUAUGUUACAGUGGCCAAUAGCACAGACCACGAGAAAGCACUUACAUUGGACCAAACCUAUAUUAAUGGAAGAAAGAUAAAUGUGCAAUAUGCAAAUAGUAACAGGAGACCAAAUAAUAAUUUUGCUGGUAAUAGUUUUAGACAUCAAGGUUUUCAGAGGGGUGGAAGAUUUUCAGGUGGAAGGGGCAGAAGUAGUUCAUUUAGAGGCAACAGGGGAAGACCAUAUACGCGCAGAGGAAAUUUUAAUCGACAGAAUUAAUUUUAAAUAAACGUUUUAAUGUCAUCUUCACUACUUCUCUGUUGUGACAUUUAGAAUUAAGUUUUUUUUUAUGUAAUCAAGAUGUUUAAUUGUAAA